UGGUUAGUCCGCAACGAGCGCAACCCUCGACCCUUAGUUGCCAGCAUUCAGUUGGGCACUCUAAGGUGACUGCCGGCUAAAAGUCGGAGGAAGGUGGGGAUGACGUCAAAUCAUCAUGCCCCUUAUGACCUGGGCUACACACGUGCUACAAUGGGCGGUACAAAGGGUCGCGAACCGCGAGGGGAGCCAAUCCCAAAAAGCCGCUCUCAGUUCGGAUUGCAGGCUGCAACUCGCCUGCAUGAAGCCGGAAUCGCUAGUAAUCGCGGAUCAGCAUGCCGCGGUGAAUACGUUCCCGGGCCUU
rnacentral:rRNA from 1 species